rnacentral:rRNA from 1 species
AUUGAACGCUGGCGGCAUGCCUUACACAUGCAAGUCGAACGGUAACGGGCCUUCGGGUGCCGACGAGUGGCGAACGGGUGAGUAAUACAUCGGAACGUGCCCGAUCGUGGGGGAUAACGAGGCGAAAGCUUUGCUAAUACCGCAUACGAUCUACGGAUGAAAGCAGGGGACCGCAAGGCCUUGCGCGGACGGAGCGGCCGAUGGCAGAUUAGGUAGUUGGUGGGAUAAAAGCUUACCAAGCCGACGAUCUGUAGCUGGUCUGAGAGGAUGAUCAGCCACACUGGGACUGAGACACGGCCCAGACUCCUACGGGAGGCAGCAGUGGGGAAUUUUGGACAAUGGGCGCAAGCCUGAUCCAGCCAUGCCGCGUGCAGGAUGAAGGCCUUCGGGUUGUAAACUGCUUUGUACGGAACGAAAAGCCUUCUUUUAAUACAGGAGGGUCAUGACGGUACCGUAAGAAUAAGCACCGGCUAACUACGUG